AACGAACGCUGGCGGCAGGCUUAACACAUGCAAGUCGAGCGAGAUCUUCGGGUCUAGCGGCGGACGGGUGAGUAACGCGUGGGAACGUGCCCUUUUCUGCGGAAUAGCCUCGGGAAACUGAGAGUAAUACCGCAUACGCCCUUUUGGGGAAAGAUUUAUCGGAGAAGGAUCGGCCCGCGUUGGAUUAGGUAGUUGGUAGGGUAAAGGCCUACCAAGCCGACGAUCCAUAGCUGGUUUGAGAGGAUGAUCAGCCACACUGGGACUGAGACACGGCCCAGACUCCUACGGGAGGCAGCAGUGGGGAAUCUUAGACAAUGGGGGCAACCCUGAUCUAGCCAUGCCGCGUGAGUGAUGAAGGCCUUAGGGUUGUAAAGCUCUUUCAGCUGGGAAGAUAAUGACGGUACCAGCAGAAGAAGCCCCGGCUAACUCCGUGCCAGCCGCCGCAGUAACAC
rnacentral:rRNA from 1 species